rnacentral:lncRNA from 1 species
UGCAUAUCUGGUCACCAUAAAAGUAGAAAUUCGAAGAAAAAUCCAAACGAUUUUAAAAAUCAAAAUAAUUUUUAUCUCGUUCGCUCCUUAGAAGUUAUUUGCCACGAAUUAAGAGGACAUGUUUGAAGUGACAACAUUGUUUAGAUGUUACUGGUUUAUGUAUAUGGUACUGAUAAUACUGUAAAUGGAAGUGAUUAUAGACACUACUCCUGCCAGACAACACUAGCCGGAAAGAUAGAAAGAUCAACAAACUAUUUAAACUUUCAAGCACAACGGCUACAACAUGUCUACAAGGUUG